AUACUUACCUGGCAGGGGAGAUGCCAUGUUCAGUGGUUUUCCCCGGGCGAGGCUCAUCCAUUGCACUCUGGAUGUGCUGGCCCCUGCCAUUUCCCCAAAUGUGGGAAACUGGACUGCAUAAUUUGUGGUUGUGGGGGACUGUGUUUGCACUCUCCCCUU
ensembl:snRNA U1 U1 spliceosomal RNA